AGGUCUUGGUCCUAAACCUAAUAUUGCCCACAGCUAAAGUAUACAUGCAAGCCUCCACAACACAGUGAGAUGCCCAAAGCCACUUAUUAAGAGUACGGAGCGGGUAUCAGGCCCAAUGCCUAUGACACCAUGCUACGCCACACCCACACGGGCCCGCAGCAGUAACCAACAUUGGGAUAUAAGCGAAAGCUAGACCCAGUUAUAGCUUCUAAGGUUGGUAAAAUUCGUGCCAGCGACCGCGGUUACACGAAUGACCUAAGGUAAUAUUAACGGCGUAAACAUGACUAGGGCUACACAUGAACCUUAAGGAAGAAACAAAAGCCUGCUGUAAAAAGCCAAGCUUAAAAUAAUCUUAAAGCCUUAACCACCCCUGACUCAUGAAAUCCAAGAAACAAACUAGGAUUAGAUACCCUACUAUGCUUGGCAGUAACAAGGUUGAAAUGAACUUCACCAGCCCGCCAGAUUAUUACAAGCGAAAGCCUAAAACUCAAAGGACUUGACGGUGUCCCACAUUCAACCUAGAGGAGCCUGUCCUAUAAUCGAUGAUCCACGAUUCACCUCACCAUUUUUUGCCAAACAGCCUAUAUACCGCCGUCACAAGUUCACCUUUUGAAAGGAAAAGAGUGAACAAAAUAGCCCAGUGCUAGUAUGUCAGGUCAAGGUGUAGCUAAUAAACUGGUUUGAGAUGGGCUACAUUUCCUUUGUAAAGGAAACACGAACGGUCUUAUGAAAACCCACCAGAAGGAGGAUUUAGUAGUAAAGUGGGAUUAGCAAGCCUGCUUGAAUACACUGCCCUGGGACACGUACACACCGCCCGUCACCCCUAUCAACUAUUUGUCUUAAAAUUUCAUAAAACAAUAAAAAAUGAAAAGAUCGGGUAAGUCGUAACAAGGUAAGCGUACUGGAAAGUGUGCUUAGAA
rnacentral:ncRNA from 1 species